CCCCAUUCUUGAUCUCCUCCACUGUGUCGAUUAGUCAUUUGGAACUGAGUUCUUGAACCCUCCAUUGAUAUUCAUGUCAUUUGUAUUUGCACUUUCAAAUUGCAUGUGUAUACCUUCUUGCUUGUGUUAUUUGAUUUGCUUGUAGAAACAACCUUCUUGGCAAGGUCCAUGAAGUUGUGCUUGGUUGGUAACCAAAGAAGCAGUGGAGUAACGGUUGUAGGGUUCGAAUCGUGUCUGAUUUGAAGCCAGGUCGCCAACAUUGAGAUCUCCACAAAUUGAAUUUACCAUUUACCUCUCAGGGCCUAGACCUCAUCAAUUGGUAUCAGAUCCAAAAUGACAGCGUCGUCGUCCUCUUUCCAACAAGUACAAGAUCACCCUGUUUUGAUGUCAUAUGAAUAAGUUAUGAUCGAAACACUAACUACAUAUCUGCUGAAUCCAAGAGUGACGUGGUAACUGAGUUGGUGAUGAAUUGCAACUUGAGAAAGAUGAUGGUGUCGACAUGUCUAGCAUGGUGAUGUCCUCAUCAUCCUCUCCUUCUUGAAUUGGAUUCAUCCUCGACUCCAUCUUGGUGAAUUUCUGUAGACUACAUCCGACCUCAGUUGUAGGUGCCAAUUUUUGUGGCUGCAUCUUUUAUGAUCUUUGUUUGGAGAAAAAUAUAAAAAAAUAAAAAAUUUUGAUUCCUACUAGUGCCUUUUGGGAAAAUCUAGGGUAAAUUCAGGAAAAAGGAAAAAUCUGCCCUAUUUCUUGUUCGCUGAGUUCUUUCCAUCAUACUUUGUUCUAUCUUGUUGUGCUACAUCUAGACACGUCUUAGCUAGCAAUUAUAAUUUGUCCUCUGGAUACUUAUUGAACUUAGCUAAAUCUGUAUUUGUUAAUUGCUAAUCCUUGCUGUUCAUAGUGUGCCUUUCUAAAGCUCCACAUAUACUUCUAUCAGCAUGAUUCUUCUUGCAACUGUUACCCAUGCUCAACAACAGAUUGGUUUACCAAUUUGGUUUUUCUCCUGUUUGGCUUUGGUAAGAAUACUUGUAAGACGAUGGUUAGCUGCUUCUGAUUUUGUAUUCCACUUUCACCACCACCACC
rnacentral:lncRNA from 1 species